rnacentral:rRNA from 1 species
CUAUUAUGGAGAGUUUGAUCCUGGCUCAGGACGAACGCUGGCGGCGUGCCUAAUACAUGCAAGUCGAGCGGAUCUUGUCCUUCGGGACAAGGUUAGCGGCGGACGGGUGAGUAACACGUAGGCAACCUGCCUGUAAGAUCGGGAUAACAUUCGGAAACGGAUGCUAAUACCGGAUAUACAAUUCAGCUGCAUGGCUGAGUUGGGAAAGACGGUGCAAGCUGUCACUUACAGAUGGGCCUGCGGUGCAUUAGCUAGUUGGUGGGGUAACGGCUCACCAAG